GACAUAGGUGGCGAUCGUUAUCCGGAAUUAUUGGGCGUAAAGGGUGCGUAGAUGGUCUGAUAAGUUAUCAGUGGUAAAUCGGGGCUCAACCUCGUGGAAGCUGGUAAUACUGUUAUACUUGAGUACAGGAGAGGUUAAUGGAAUUCCCUGUGGAGCGGUAAAAUGCGUUAGAUAUAGGGAAGAACACCAAUAACGGCGAAGGCAAUUAACUAUGCUGAUACUGACAUUGAGGCACGAAAGCGUGGGGAGCAAAAAGG
rnacentral:rRNA from 1 species